rnacentral:rRNA from 1 species
GACGUAGGGCGCGAGCGUUGUCCGGAUUUAUUGGGCGUAAAGAGCUCGUAGGCGGCUUGUCGCGUCGAAUGUGAAAUCCUGCGGCUCAACUGCAGGCUUGCAUUCGAUACGGGCAGGCUAGAGUUCGGUAGGGGAGACUGGAAUUCCUGGUGUAGCGGUGAAAUGCGCAGAUAUCAGGAGGAACACCCAUGGCGAAGGCGCCACUCUGGGCCGGUACUGACGCUGAGGAGCGAAAGCGUGGGUAGCAAACAGG